GACGAACGCUGGCGGCGUGCUUAACACAUGCAAGUCGAACGGAAAGGCCCUGCUUUUGUGGGGUGCUCGAGUGGCGAACGGGUGAGUAACACGUGAGUAACCUGCCCUUGACUUUGGGAUAACUUCAGGAAACUUGGGCUAAUACCGGAUAGGAUCUCCUGCUGCAUGGUGGGGGUUGGAAAGUUUCGGCGGUUGGGGAUGGACUCGCGGCUUAUCAGCUUGUUGGUGGGGUAGUGGCUUACCAAGGCUUUGACGGGUAGCCGGCCUGGGAGGGUGACCGGCGCCGUUGGGACUGGGAUACGGCCCAGACUCGUACGGGAGGCAGCGGUGGGGAAUAUUGCACAAUGGGCGGAAGCCUGAUGCAACAACGCAGCGUGCGGGAUGACGGCCUUCGGGUUGUGAACCGCUUUCGCCUGUGACGAAGCGUGAGUGACGGUAAUGGGUGAAGAAGCACCGGCUAACUACGUG
rnacentral:rRNA from 1 species